rnacentral:rRNA from 1 species
AUGGCCGAGAUCAACAAUGACGCCGCAGAGGAAGGAGACGGGCAGCUCCUGUCCACGCUCCCGAAGAAGGAAGGGAUGUGGAAGCCAUUCUUCCUCUACCGAGGCUGCUGGCUCACACCCCGGACCGUGACGAGCAUCACGCUCCUGCAGUCCCAGUUCGCCCCGCGCCCCGACGACGUCGUCCUCGCCACCUUCCCCAAGUGCGGCACCACCUGGCUCAAGGCGCUCGCCUUCGCCGUCGCCAACCGCUCCCGACACCCCGCCGGCUCCGGCGCCCACCCGCUGCUCACCACCCACCCGCAGGACCUCGUGCCGUCCCUCGAGGUGCCCCACCGCGACGUCCACCCGGUCGCCGGCCUCGACAAGCUCCCCUCCCCGAGGCUCCUCUCCACCCACAUGCCGCCGUCGCUGCUGCCCCCGGGCAUCUCGGCCCUCGGCUGCCGCGUCGUGUACCUGUGCCGGGAGCCCAAGGACGUGUUCGUCUCCAGCUGGCACUACAUGAACAGGGUGAGCGCCGACUUCUCCCCCGACAUGGACGCCACCUUCGAGCUCUUCUGCGAGGGGUUCUCCCUGUACGGCCCUCUCUGGGAUCACGUCCGCGGGUACUGGGAGCAGAGCGUGGCGGAGCCCGACAGGGUUCUCUUCCUCAAGUACGACGACAUGAUGGCCGACGCAGGUAAGCACCUCAAGAUGCUCGCCGAGUUCCUCCGCGCCCCGUUCACUGACGAGGAGGUCAGCGGCGGGGCCGUGGAGGACGUCGUGGCCCUGUGUAGCUUCGAGAAUCUGAAGAGCCUGCCGGUCAACUCCUCAGGAGUGUCCGAUCGGAUCGGUGGCUUGCCCAUGGAGAAUUCGUCCUACUUCCGGGCUGGGAAGGUGGGAGACUGGAAGACACACUUGACUGAGGAGAUGGCAAAAAAGCUGGACUGCAUCGUUGAAGAGAAGCUGAGAGGUUCUGGUCUCACCUUCUGA